GUUACCAAAUCUAUACCGUUGGACUGAUGAAAUAUUCAAUCAAAUUCAAUCCAAACGUAAAUUCAUAUGAAAACAUAAUGAGCCCAAAUCAUUCAAUGGUCCUAAGUAAAAUUCAUUGGUUAUAAUUAUCGACCGGACCCGGGUACAAGCCACGAAAAAAUCUAGCCGAAUUGCUCACCACAAAUGUACGUGAAGUUAAUGAGUAGGGGCAGCUAUAAGAAACAUUCCAAAAUCAAAAUGCCGUGUAAAUUUAAUAACCUACCUCUGCCAUCGUCGAAGGUGUAAAGCCUCGCCAACAGCCUACAAACGUAAUAAAUGGAAAUGCAUCGAAGAAAGUCGCUCAGCUGAUUUUCAAUUCAGCAGCAGCGGGAGUUAAUUAUGCGAUAAACAGACGACGGUGAACUUGAAACGCAAUAGAUGAUUAAUUUUCCUACUUCUAAAGUAAGUCUCACGAUUGCGGACCCACAGUGCCAUUAGAGGUCAUUAAUACCCGCAGCCAGCUGGACUGCGAAGUUCAAUCACGUUAUACGCUCAUACGUCGGGAUCGAGUACUUCAAAUUUUGAU